AGUGAACGCUGGCGGUAGGCCUAACACAUGCAAGUCGAACGGCAGCACAGUAAGAGCUUGCUCUUACGGGUGGCGAGUGGCGGACGGGUGAGGAAUACAUCGGAAUCUACUUUUUCGUGGGGGAUAACGUAGGGAAACUUACGCUAAUCCCGCAUACGACCUACGGGUGAAAGCAGGGGAUCUUCGGACCUUGCGCGAUUGAAUGAGCCGAUGUCGGAUUAGCUAGUUGGCGGGGUAAAGGCCCACCAAGGCGACGAUCCGUAGCUGGUCUGAGAGGAUGAUCAGCCACACUGGAACUGAGACACGGUCCAGACUCCUACGGGAGGCAGCAGUGGGGAAUAUUGGACAAUGGGCGAAAGCCUGAUCCAGCCAUACCGCGUGGGUGAAGAAGGCCUUCGGGUUGUAAAGCCCUUUUGUUGGGAAAGAAAAGCAGCAGGUUAAUACCCCGCUGUUCUGACGGUACCCAAAGAAUAAGCACCGGCUAACUUCGUG
rnacentral:rRNA from 1 species